rnacentral:rRNA from 1 species
GACGAACGCUGGCGGCGUGCCUAAUACAUGCAAGUAGAACGCUGAAGGAGGAGCUUGCUUCUCUGGAUGAGUUGCGAACGGGUGAGUAACGCGUAGGUAACCUGCCUGGUAGCGGGGGAUAACUAUUGGAAACGAUAGCUAAUACCGCAUAAGAGUAGAUGUUGCAUGACAUUUGCUUAAAAGGUGCAAUUACAUCACUACCAGAUGGACCUGCGUUGUAUUAGCUAGUUGGUGGGGUAACGGCUCACCAAGGCGACGAUACAUAGCCGACCUGAGAGGGUGAUCGGCCACCCUGGGACUGAGACACGGCCCAGACUCCUACGGGAGGCAGCAGUAGGGAAUCUUCGGCAAUGGACGGAAGUCUGACCGAGCAACGCCGCGUGAGUGAAGAAGGUUUUCGGAUCGUAAAGCUCUGUUGUAAGAGAAGAACGAGUGUGAGAGUGGAAAGUUCACACUGUGACGGUAUCUUACCAGAAAGGGACGGCUAACUACGUG